UCUGUGGCACUCCUCUGAGUCCAUCUCCAUUCUAACUAAUGCUUGAUUUUGGGUAGCUAAGUCCCUCUGGACUCGUCGUCGCUUCCUCGCCCCCUUCGACCCCUUGCUUUAACACCUUUGUGUUCUCCAAGCAGCUCCCUUUGGUCGAUGGAAAGACAGACUGCAACUCCCAUGCAUGGCCUCUGCCAUCAUGUUGUAGGGUUUGCACCGAUUCUGUUCUCCUUAGCUUCUUUGGUAGCAACGUUCGCUUACUCGACCUUGUCCUCUGACUUGCCGGGCUCCCUUAAGUGAAUAUGAGCUCUGGAGCAGUCCAACUCUCCAGCUGCUUCGAUCAUACCUCUGCAUGAUCA
rnacentral:lncRNA from 1 species